AUUGAACGCUGGAGGCAGGCCUAACACAUGCAAGUCGAACGAGUGGCGGACGGGUGAGUAAUAUAUCGGAACGUACCGAGUACUGGGGGAUAACCAAUCGAAAGAUUGGCUAAUACCGCCUAUUAUUCGAGCUGCCGAUAACUGAUUAGCUAGUUGUUGGGGUAACGGCCUACCACGGCGACGAUCAGUAGCGGUUCUGAGAGGACGAUCCGCCACACUGGGACUGAGACACGGCCCAGACUCCUACGGGAGGCAGCAUUGGGGAAUUUUGGACAAUGGGGGCAACCCAGAGCCAGCCAUGCCGCGUGUAUGAAGAAGGCAUUCGGGUUGUAAAGUACUUUUGUUAGGGAAGCGGUACCUAAAGAAUAAGCACCGGCUAACUACGUGCCAGCAGCCGCGGUAAUUC
rnacentral:rRNA from 1 species